GUGGGGAAUCUUCCGCAAUGGACGAAAGUCUGACGGAGCAACGCCGCGUGAGUGAAGAAGGUUUUCGGAUCGUAAAGCUCUUUCGUUAGGGACGAACGUGCUCUUUGUGAAUAAUGAGGAGUAAUGACGGUACCUAAAUAAGAAGCCACGGCUAACUACGUGCCAGCAGCCGCGGUAAUACGUAGGUGGCAAGCGUUGUCCGGAAUUAUUGGGCGUAAAGCGCGCGCAGGCGGGAUAUCAAGUCUGUCGUAAAAGUGCGAGGCUCAACCUCGUGAGGGGACAGAAACUGGUAUUCUUGAGUGUCGGAGAGGAAAGUGGAAUUCCAAGUGUAGCGGUGAAAUGCGUAGAGAUUUGGAAGAACACCAGUGGCGAAGGCGACUUUCUGGACGAUGUCUGACGCUGAGGCGCGAAAGCUAGGGGAGCGAACGGGAUUAGAAACCCUGGUAGUCC
rnacentral:rRNA from 1 species